UUAAUAUUUAUAGGCUUAAUUGCAUGUUGUGUGCAUUUUGGUCUUACAGUUUCCUUCAUCUCUAAACUGCACACCUACAGCACACUUUUAUUGUGUCUAUUGCAGCCAUACAAUACUAUGCAAAGACCAGUUCAGACAUCAUGUAUCUCUGUGCAGCAGUGCAACCAAGACCACUAUAGCAGAAGUGUUUAAUCCACAGACUGUUGCUACUUCUGAUGCACGUCCAGCUCCCCCUCUGCCAGCUACUCCUGAUACACCUUCUCCCAGUUCUGGUCUUGCUUCCUCUGUGCAUGGUAUUAAUUAUAUUAAUUAUUAUAUUUUCUCUCAGGAAAGUUCAGCGUGUUGAACGUGUGACUGAUGAAGGAGAUAGAAUGGGCAACGUCUCCUUUGAACAGAUACAGUUCUGGAAGAGGGUGACAAAGCUUUUUUAAAGCUGUCACUGGUUUGUCGUCUCUUCCGGGACAUUGUUUGGACAACAAUCAUUCCUGGCCCGGGCACAUUUCGAGUGGCUUGACAGUGUAGUGCCAUGAAAACAUCACAGUGCUGCAUGUAAAGACGAGUUUCGCAGGAUGUACGAACUGCAGUGCUGCCAGAACUGUCAAGAAACUUAUAAAGACUGCAUACUGGGCUACGUUGGGCAUGGGAGACGAGGGGAGCUUGUGGCAUUUUACAGCGAAAACGAGCACCCUGGAUUCUGCAGCCAGCUUCAUGAGUGGCUGGGUGUGUGAGUGGCUGGGUGUGUGAGUGGCUGGGUGUGUGAGUGGCUGGGUGUGUGAGUGGCUGGGUGUGUGAGUGGCAGGGUGUGUGAGUGGCAGGGUGUGUGAGUGGCAGGGUG